UCCCGGGCGUCUGAGUUGUCUGCUGUGAGUACCGUCAAAAUGUUGGAGUGAGUCUUCACCUUCACGAGAAUGUCAACAAGCAAGUUUGAAAAACUCUCCAGUGAAGCUUUUGAAUUUUAUCUUACAACGAAUGUGCCUUAUCUGGAAGAAUUGCCCACUUGCUUGGAAUUCUAUAGAAAUUAUGUGGCUCAAAAUCGGCCAGUGAUUAUCCGUAAUGCUUUCAACAGCUGGCCGGCGUUAUCGAAAUGGAACAUUGAAUACUUAAGGCAGUCUUAUGGGACAAAAGAUGUCACAGUAACCAUCACCCCAAAUGGUUAUGCUGAUGCAGUCACAAAUGGACACUUUGUUCUUCCCCUGGAAAACGUGAUGCCCAUGAACCAGUUUUUGAAAUCACUGGAAAACCCUGUCGUAAACAGGGUGCACUAUAUUCAAACACAGAACUCCAAUCUCACCAAAGAGUUUGCAGAAUUGAUAGCUGACUCUGCAGACGAGAUUGAGUGGGCCUCAACAUUGUUUGGCACCAAGCCAGAUGCAGUCAAUUUCUGGAUGGGAGAUGAGCGGGCAAUCACAUCGAUGCACAAGGAUCCCUAUGAAAACAUGUACUGUGUCGUUUCUGGAUACAAAGACUUCAUUCUCCACCCUCCCACAGACCAGCCAUGGAUACCUUAUGCAAAUUAUCCCAAAGCUAGUUACCAAGAAAUCGACGGAGAUUUGAAGAUUGUUCCGGAUGAUGACGGAACCAUUCCUUGGAUAGAUAUCGAUCCUUUGAAGCCCGACUUGACAAAAUAUCCCAAGUACAAAAAUGCUCGGCAGAUUCGAUGUCGCGUUGAGAAAGGUGAAAUGCUCUACCUGCCCUCGCUUUGGUUCCACCACGUCCGCCAGUCUCACGGCUGCAUAGCAGUCAACUACUGGUAUAGAAUCGUCUGCAGCCACUGGACACGUCGGCGUAGAAGCCUCCGCCUCCGCCUUCCUCAAACGAGCACUUUUUGGCCAGAAUGACUACAUUGAUAUCCUUGGUCCAUCUAAUAAGAUCACUCGAAAGACCUUACACCCAACUCAAUUGUUCAAUAAUGUUCCUCCCUGGUUAAGAAGAGUAAAAGGAAAUGAGCAUCAGGUCCUGUUGCCCAAGAUGAAAUUUGUGCAACGAGAAGAUUACCCCUCACUCAUCCAACAAAGUGGGGCACGCUGAACUCUAGAAUAAAAAAGCUUUACAAAUAUUUGAAUACCAAAACAAAGUCACCCUUCUGGAAACAUGCUUAGUGAAUUUGUGUUUAAAGCAGUAAUAAAAAAAAUACAUGAAUAAUAAUUUUA